rnacentral:rRNA from 1 species
UACGUAGGGUGCGAGCGUUAAUCGGAAUUACUGGGCGUAAAGCGUGCGCAGGCGGUCGUUCAAGUCGAGUGUGAAAGCCCCCGGCUCAACUGGGGAGGGUCACUCGAUACUGAUCGACUUGAAGGCAGGAGAGGGAAGCGGAAUUCCCGGUGUAGUGGUGGAAUGCGUAGAUAUCGGGAGGAACACCAGUGGCGAAGGCGGUUACCUGGAGCUUUGCUGACGCUGAUGCGCGAAAGCGUGGGGAGCGAUCCGG